rnacentral:misc_RNA from 1 species
UCUCUCUCUCUCUCUCUUUCUCAAUAGAAAAACAUAGAAAAAGAAGAUGAUAAGGCGGUUUAGGCUUGCUUGGCGCAAUGAGUUUUGUCUGGCGUGUGGAAUCUGAGUGUUUUUUCGUAGCAAAAUAAAAUGUAUAGUUUUGUGCCGAGAAUAGAUAGAUUAAAAAAGAUUUUGUGUGAGAGAAUCCAUUUGGAAGAAACAAAUCCAAUGCUACAGAUAGAUAAAGACUGCCUUUGGAGAAGAUACUGUUGCUGUCACUGUCGUUGGACCCACACACCCACGCCUACCGCCCUAGUGGCGAGACUGACAUCACGCUCCUAAACAGAGUAAACGUCCCACUUAAAAAAAUUUCUAAAUCAUCGUACGAAUGGAGAAUUUUUUUUAUAAAAAUGAAAAUAUAUUUAGGAAAAACUACUUUUUCAUAAUUAAUACCUAUCUCUUUAAAAACUCAACAGUAUCAUUCCUGAUUUUUGAAACUGUCAAAAAUGAAGUCCUUUCACUUAAAAGUGUCCUUAGUGAAUUAUGAAAUGAUCAUAUUACCCUUAAUUAAAUUAAAAAUUUCCUAAGAAAAACCUACCACCUCUCUGUACACCUCUCGUUAUUCAAAAAAUGUUCAUUCUGUAACAAUGCUUCUCUUAGGCAUUUCAUCAAACAAGAGAAAGGCAUUGCACAAAUCAACAUGCAUUUCUCAUUUGCUUGUUGAACAAUCAUAAAUUCUCAUUCUUAUCACCUCUCUCUUACAACAAUAACAAUAUAACCCCUCUACUUCUUGCCCUUUUCGAUUUUUCUCUCUAUUUCAGUCUCCCCUCUCUUUUUCUCUUCCAUUGAUGCCUCUAUUCCCCCCUAUUGAUUUCUUUGAUUCUUUCUUUAUUCACUUUUCCCACCCCUUGCUCCUUUCAAGUCCCCUCUUGAUCUCUCCUCUCACCUGUAAUGCUGUUAAGUUAUCUGUAAGACCCUUUGCUGCCUCGACACCAUCACACAGAGCAGAGCACCUCCCCAUGCCAAUUGCCACCAUCGUCUAUCACUUGCAAGUUGCAAUCCCUCAAUGCCUUGCCACCAUCGCAUCUCCCUUCCUCCCUCCCUCCCUCAAAGAAAUUGCAUGUCACCCUCUCUCCACUCAAAUGCCUCCAUAAAAGCUUGGUACGGAAGGGAGGUGAGCUGGGUUUGGUCUCAUGUAAGUUUUGUGGUCGGUGAGAGGAGCAAGAGGUUCUUUGCGAGAGGUGAGUGAAGGGGGGUGGGAGCCGAGAUUAAGGAAUGAGGUAAGGAGCUGAUUGCUGUGGCUUUGGUAGGGAGAAAGACAGUAGAGUUGAUGGGCUAAUGUCAAAGGAGAAGAAAAAUGGGUUUGCGAGGAGGCUUUCUUCAACUGGAUACGAGGAGAGCUCAGAAAGUUUCUUAGCAAAGUGAAGAAGUGAGGGACAGAGGGAGGAUUAAGAACGGAACUUGGAGGGUAUUUAGAUCUUUUUCUAUUUAAU